CAAUUCUAAAGUAUGAAGUUCAUGUACAAAGUUUACAGAGACAUCUUGUUAGACAAAUUCAAAAUUUAAAUCUUAGCCAAUAAACCUAAAGAUCUUCCUGCUCUAAUCAGUCCUGAAUGAGGUAAAGCUCAGCUGAUCCUACUUGUACUCAUCAAGACCCACAUAAAAAGCAAAGACUAAGCUACCUCUGUUCUAUGCAAUCAUGUUUGUGUUUUAUUUGGUGUUUUUGGUAUAUGUUGCCAUGUCGGUGGGUCAAACUGGCAUUCCUCGGUAUGGGAAAGGCCACUGGGUCAUGGAUGAAAACACACAGUAUUAUGAUACAGAUGAAGGCUUCCCUCUGGAACAAAAUGUGUCCAAUGACAACUCUUUAGAAGAGGUUCCUUUCCCAACAGUUGAAGGCCAGAAUUUGCUCACCACUGAAGAGUCUCCUCUUCUGAUGGGACAAGAUUCUACAGAAGUUCAUGACUCAAAAGUGUGGAAAAUUGUCCUGGUGACUGUCAUCCUGUUGAUGUCCGUGGUGGGAUCUCUGGCCACGGCCUACUACCUGUGUGUCUGGAGAGGGGGCAGGAUUCACUACCAGCCCCAGAAGACGUACACAUAAAUAUCAAUAAAUUUAUAAAAUGGUAAUCUUUUUAUAUUCUAGUGAAUUCAUUUUUUUUUUUUUUCCUUUUAAACUCAUCCAAUAAAAAACACUUGUGUUACUUACAGAAAGUGGAGCAAGAGUCUAAGGCCACCUGAUGGAGUCGAUUGACUUUUGUCAGACUGAAAUUCCUGCACCAUAAUCUAUUAAACUCCUACCAGUUUAUCUCCCCACCCCCCGAGUCUAAAUGUUAUAUACACCUAUUUUACAAGAACAUAAAAGAUUUGAGGCUCUUGUAGUUUAGGAUAUGGUCACUAGAUGUCAUCACUUGUGUUCGUAUGUUCCUGGUUGGCAGUUCACUUUAAAUACAGAGGGAAAUGAAGGAAAUUGGUUGUAGACCUAAAACUUAAGAAAAUUUUGACAUUUUGGUUCACAAAACAAAGUGAGGAAAGUCUGGUUUGAGUGAAUUGAACCUAUCCUAAUAUUUGAUUUCCUUCACAUGGAGAUGCUGCUGCUUUAUGCAUACACCUUAGGAUUCUAACUUAAGGCAGUUGGUUCCAAAAAAAGUUGCAUGGGUAUCUAUUGAUCUACUCCCUCAGAAGGUAUUGACUUGACUUGGUCCCCAUACCUUUCCCUCUAAAUGUAUUGUCUAAAUUGGGCAUGUCCAAAGUACGGCCCGUGGGCCAAAUGCAGCCUGCACUAAGUUUUCAAUGACCCUCUAGCAAAAUCAAUAUGCAGCACGCUGCAUCUUAAGUGUAUGAUUUC
rnacentral:lncRNA from 1 species